CCCGGUCUUCACCGUCGUCCCCGGCAAAACUUACCGCCUCCGCAUCGCGAGCAUUUCCUCCCUCUCCGCGCUCAGCUUCGAAAUUGAGGUAACCGUUUCAUCUCCUAUCUGUUACGUACCUGUUUUCGACAAAAAAUCCCACUAUGUAGCAGAUACAUCACAUCAUCUAUAUCUAAUCAAUCAUAUUUUUUUUUAAGAACAAAAACAUAAUAAACUUUUUUCUGUAAUCAUAAUAGAACAGAUGAAUUCCAAAAAAGUAAUUUGAUUGAUCAUAAACACCGCAUCACCAAUGUGACUAUUAUAUUUUUCAUAUUUUCAAUCCCUGACGACUACGUUUGUUUAAAAAAAGUAGGGAAAACUUCAAAAACCCCCCCUGUGGUUUCGUGCAUUCUCACUUUGCUACCCUGUGGUUUAAAACGUAUCAAUUUACCCCCCUGUGGUUUCAUUUUUAUCUUUUCAGAAGCUUUUUCGUUAAUAUUUCGUUAAAUUAUAUAUAAAAAACUUCAGAUAACCAUCUAUAUUUAUCAAAUAGUCACUUUAGUAUCCUUUAAUUUUAACUUUGUCACUGAUUUUAAAAAAAAAUAAUAAUAAAAUUGAUAACAAAAAGAUAAAAACGAAACCACAGGGGGGAAAAUUGAUACGUUUUAAACCACAGGGUAGCAAAGUGAGAAUGCACAAAACCACAGGGGAGGUUUUUGAAGUUUUCCCAAAAAAGUACUAAAAUAAAAAAAUAAAUAAAUGAAUAAUUUUUACAAAAGACAAGGGUUUUGAAACCAUCGAUGAAGUGUUAAUAUAUAUUUUUACACCAGCUUUUACUAUAAUAAUUUUUUGAAUAAUAUAGUAUCAGUAAUAUUUUAAUUAUAAAUUAUGAGCACAAUUACAUAAUAUUAUAAUUAUAAAUUAUGUAAUGGGUUGCUGAUCACCUUGACCGGCCCAGCUGUAUUAUUUUUGAUUUUAUUCUUAAUCUAAUGUAAAGUUCAAAUUAGUGGUUGUCACCCACUUGUGAUGUAUAUAUAUUUUAAUUAAUUAUACGUUAUUUUUUGUUCACCCUCAACGUGCAAUACAAGAGGAAAUGGACACGAUCAUGUGAUCGAUUUCAAAAUGCCCUUGAAUUUUUAAUUAAAAAAUCUUAAAUUAUAUAUAUAUAUUUUUGGGAGACGAAAACAUGACUGAGAUCUAAUACAAGUCCAAGUUUCUUUGUCGCCUCUUUAAAAUAUAAAUUGUUUAAAACGCAUUCGAUUAUUUGAUCUUUAAAAAUUUUGAUCGUGCUAAUUUUAGGGGCACAACUUGACUGUGGUGGAAGCGGACGGGCACUAUGUGGACCCGUUUGUGGUUCAGAACCUGUACAUCUACUCGGGCGAGACGUACUCGGUCCUACUGAAAGCCGACCGCGACCCGACCCGCAACUACUGGGCGGCGUCGCACGUGGUGAGCCGCAAGCCGGCGACCCCGCCCGCGACCGCGAUCAUCAACUACUAUCCGAACCCUCCGUUGCGGAGCCCCCGAUCUGCUCUCCCGCCCGGGCCGGCCUGGAACGACACCCGAACCCGGGUCGCCCAGAGCCGGUCCGUCCGGGCCCACCCGGACCACAUCCAACCGGUCCCGCCCAAACCGGACCGGGUCAUAAUCCUCCUCAACACCCAGAACCGGGUCAACGGUCGCAUGCGGUGGGCCCUCAACAACGUCUCGUACGAGCUCCCGCAUACUCCCUACCUCGUCGCGCUAAAGCACGGGCUCCGCCACGUGUACAACCGGGCCCCACCCCCCGACACGUACGACUACAGGGGCUACGACAUACGCGUACCCCAGAAGAACCCCAACGCGACGACGAGCAACGCGAUUUACCGGGUCGGGUUCGGGUCCACGGUGGACGUGGUUCUCCAGAACGCGAACACGUUGACGCCGAACAACAGCGAGACGCACCCGUGGCACCUGCACGGGCACGACUUUUGGGUGUUGGGGUACGGGUCGGGUAAGUAUAACCCGGGCGCGGACCCGGGGUCGUAUAAUUUGAGGGACCCGAUAAUGAAGAACACGGUGGCGCUGCACCCUAUGGGGUGGACCGCACUGAGGUUCCGUGCGGAUAACCCCGGGGUGUGGGCGUUUCACUGCCACAUCGAGUCCCAUUUUUUUAUGGGGAUGGGGAUCGUGUUUGAGGAGGGCGUGGAAAAAGUGGGGCGCCUCCCAGAAGCAAUUCUGGGGUGUGGUGAGUCCAAGAUUUUGAGGAACCCUUAAGUGAGGGCUUUUGAUUUUGAAUUUAAACUUUUGAUUUUGAUUUUGAAUUUGGUUCAAGAUUUUAGGGAAUGUGGCUUGUAAACUUGUGAGCUGUUGCUUACAAAUUUUUCGCCUAUUUAAUUAAUUGAUUGAUGAUAAUUUUGUUGGAUCUUGUGUCUUUUCAACUUGUGAUGUAUUUGAAAAAAAGAAUGUUUUGUAUGCGAAUAAUGACAAUGCUAGUAAAGUUAACUCAAUGUGAAGUGACAAAAGUUCAUAAAGAGAGAGAGAGAGAGAGAGAGAGAGAGAGUACCUGUUUGUUUCCGUGGAAUUCGGAAAUUGAUGUCCUAACUUCAAAUAUCUUGUCAAGGACAAUAUUUGUUCUGAUACCGAAGUUACGAAAUCAUUCGAACUUUUGUUGACAAUUGCAUGAUCUUGACGGAAAAAGAAGUCGAGUUCACAAAACUUACAAAUUUUUCAACUCUACACUGCUUAUUUGAUGCUUGAAGAUCCCAAUUAUUCUCCUCAAACAAAACUUUUGCUCAUCUAUUUAUAGCCAUGCACUUGGUUCUUUGGGCAUUGUACUACAAAAAUGUACUACAAAUUAAAGCCCUCAUAAAAU
rnacentral:lncRNA from 1 species